rnacentral:rRNA from 1 species
UACGGAGGGGGCUAGCGUUGUUCGGAAUUACUGGGCGUAAAGCGCACGUAGGCGGACUGGAAAGUCAGAGGUGAAAUCCCAGGGCUCAACCUUGGAACUGCCUUUGAAACUCCCGGUCUUGAGGUCGAGAGAGGUGAGUGGAAUUCCGAGUGUAGAGGUGAAAUUCGUAGAUAUUCGGAGGAACACCAGUGGCGAAGGCGGCUCACUGGCUCGAUACUGACGCUGAGGUGCGAAAGCGUGGGGAGACAACCGG